AGGCUCUGUUAUUCUAGAGGGCUGGCCUGGUUACAAGGGUAGCCAGAUUAACUAGGGUCUAAAUGGGAGAGCUGGGGCACGGAUCAUUCACCAAAGAAACCGCAGCGACCUUCCGCCUGGGUGGGGCUUCUCUUCUUUUAACCUCCCGCGAAACUGCUAGUCAGCAGCUCUGUUUCCUGCCAUUGCUCGAGGAGAUCUUCAUGAGUUUCAUAGGAGUAGGAUUGUGCCUUCAAUCCAUCAUCUUUCUAGGGAAGCCCAGAGUCACAUCUUCCACAGCUGUUUCAGAAAGCAGGCAGAAACAUUCUUCAUGUGGCUGGCUGCCUUUGGAACUGAACAUCAACAAAAGGCAAGCAACAGAAAUGGAGUGUCAGUCAGCACUUCCGAAGACCUAGCUUUUCAGCCAGAGAGGAAACCAGGCCAAGAGGCUUCCAGUCCAGUGUUUAAUUCUCCCUGGCCCCUCUUUGCAUGGGCCUCCUGAGGGGUAGCUCCUCCAAACGCUGCCCUGAGGUUUGACUGAAAUCUGUCAUUUCUUUGGUUGGAAGGUUGGUGUUUCCUUGCAAGGGACCACAAAGCCAUAUUACAUUCAAUGUUAAAUAAACAAAUGUUUGAAUCUGUGUUU
rnacentral:lncRNA from 10 species